rnacentral:rRNA from 1 species
GUAUGUAGCCAUGCCAUCCUGAAUGCACCUGAUUUCAGAAGCUGAGCAGGGCUGGGCCUCUUUAAAGCUUUAGUGGGGAAGAAGCAAUAGAGU